rnacentral:rRNA from 1 species
CCUACGGGGAGCAGCAGUGGGGAAUAUUGGACAAUGGGCGAAAGCCUGAUCCAGCCAUGCCGCGUGUGUGAAGAAGGCCUUCGGGUUGUAAAGCACUUUCAGUGGGGAAGAAAGCCUUGGGGCUAAUACCCUCGAGGAAGGACAUCACCCACAGAAGAAGCACCGGCUAACUCCGUGCCAGCAGCCGCGGUAAUACGGAGGGUGCGAGCGUUAAUCGGAAUUACUGGGCGUAAAGCGCGCGUAGGCGGUCUGAUAAGCCGGUUGUGAAAGCCCCGGGCUCAACCUGGGAACGGCAUCCGGAACUGUCAGGCUAGAGGGCAGGAGAGGAAGGUAGAAUUCCCGGUGUAGCGGUGAAAUGCGUAGAGAUCGGGAGGAAUACCAGUGGCGAAGGCGGCCUUCUGGACUGACACUGACGCUGAGGUGCGAAAGCGUGGGUAGCAAACAGGAUUAGAUACCCGUGUAGUC